GUAACAGACUAAUGUCAUGAAAACUGGCCAAACGAGUUAAAAACCGGCCGGCUGACCGUCCUGGACUAAACUGGCGCCAAACUGGGCUCCGAACUUGUUGUUCUCGGAAAACGAAGUCUCAUCGGCAGUGAAUUACAAAUUCCUCCAGCGACCGAAUAUUUUGCUCGCCCCCAUUCAGAAAGUUCGAAAGCCUUAGGAAAGGAUGCAACGCCUUGUCUCGACAAAUGAAAAGAGAACGCCAUCAUCUCGGAAGUUUUAUGAAUUGCAGGAUACCACUGACAGAACCAGAGAAUUAUCUCCCCACGGAGCGACAUUUGUGAGGAUCAUCGAUCCCUCGACCGCACAACAUAAUCUUCCCCUUGAUUCGGCGUUCUCGACUUUCAUCGAGAGAGAACACAAAAAGGAUUGCGCGCCUAUGGGUGGAAUCCUCAAAGCUUCCUAACAUCAAUAGGCCAGCCGUAGACCGAGGAGGAGUCACAAAAGAAGGCACUUGUGGCUUGAAGAGGUCGAGAAAAUCGGCCGUUCGAAUAAACGACGUGCAUUGUGCGCGCUCCUCGGUUAUCCCCCCCCUACCCCCCACGUCACUCGGCGACUGACCGAUAUUUGGCCGGAGCUGAUCUAAUAGGGUGGAUUAGGGGCCCGAGAGGGAGAACCGACGCUGCACAGCGGGGAUUUCGAUUCAUCUACCUGGGCAAAAUCCAUGUCAUCUUUCGUUCCAGGUAAAAAUUACCUGCGGUAGGUAAUUAACGCUGGCUUAGGGGACUCGUCAAUACCACGUAUAGUACGAUUUUUAUGGUGAUCGAAAAUGGAAAAUCAGACGCUACUCACGUACGAUAUUUGAAAAUGUUAAACUCGAUGCUUUAAAAUGUACGUAUGCAACAAUGUACAGCAGCUUUUUGCUCCUACACGUAUGUGUACAUUCGCACAGAAUUGACUGUAACGUAGAGGCGAUAGUAUAGGCAACCGGAAGAAUGGGAAAGAAAGGCGGUGCCACUCAAAGAAACGGAUCCAAGGUGCCAGAUUCACCAAACCUUCGACCAUUCCGGCCAACAAUGCCAGCCCAUCUGAUGUCAGACGUAUUUCCUGUCUGGGUGUGUUCAUUCUAAUGUACUAGGUGUUCUGGUUGAUCCAUUAUUCGAGUAUAAUGACUCCAUUUCUGUUCCACCGAAUCUAUUUCUGUUCACUGAGUUACGAGAUGUUGGAGAGGGGACGAAGUUGUUAUGCUUUUCUCGUGAAAAACAUAUUGGUAGAUUAUUAGCAGACGAAUAGAGAGAUUAGGGACGUCGAAUUAGUUCUUUUCGUGUGCACUGUAAAAAAGGUGUAAAGCAUCUACGGAGUUUAAAAAUUAAAGAAGUCAAAUUAGAACGAUUAA